rnacentral:rRNA from 1 species
GACGAACCGUACAAACGUUAUUCGGAAUCACUGGGCUUAAAGGGUGCGUAGGCGGCCCGGGAAGUUGGGUGUGAAAGCCCUCGGCUCAACCGAGGAAUUGCGCCCAAAACUGCCGGGCUCGAGGGAGGCAGAGGUAAGCGGAACUUAGGGUGGAGCGGUGAAAUGCGUUGAUAUCCUAAGGAACACCAGGAGCGAAAGCGGCUUACUGGGCCUCUUCUGACGCUGAGGCACGAAAGCUAGGGGAGCGAACGGG